AUGAACUCUGGGGCUUUUAACUUAAGUCAUUUAAGUUAUUUCCAACUGAAGAACAUUCAGUCAUUAUGGAUUGCUUAUCUGCCAAAACAGGGUCACGGGGUCAUGGAGCAGAGGGAGCAGAACGUUUAUGUGCAACUGGAAUAAGAAUAUAUACAACAACAGAGUGAAAGACGAAGAAGAAGUCCCAAACCCCUGAGGCAGCAGCCUGUGAUCUUGCUCAACACAAACAAAGAUGUACCGCUCAAUGGCCUCUUCAGCUGCAACCACUGAUAAGGUGGUAGAUCCAGCACUCCUGGGACUCAAUUCCAACCAAUCCGCGCCAGUUCUGAGUGGUGCUGCGAUUUCUUCCAAUCCACUCACUUUAGUCUUCUUCCUCCCACCCCUCAACGCGGCCUGUGUGGCAUCAUAUUCCCUCCCUCCUUGGUGAGAGUCAUGUGACGCAUUUGCCCACAAAUAUUGUUGCCAAGGGUCGCGAUUGAGACGUGCACAAUUCAGAAUCCAUUCAUAAAUGUCCCAUGACUGACACGUAGAACACACAGAACUAAAAAGCAGAACUCACUAGUGCAGCGUGCCGCCAGCCGAACACUAUACGGGGUGGACAUAAACAAACAUGGCUGACCACCAGAUCCACAUCUCUCCUUGCUACUUCUGACCUCGCGACUCUGUGGAACAUAUCAGCAGUGACUGUUUUAACCGGCUGUAUAAAUGAGCCGCUGAGCAACUCCGGUCACACACACACACACAAACAUUCCCCACCUUUACAUCUCAGACUCCACCCUUGUGAGGAGCUCUGUAACAGAACAAUGAGCACUCACUACUGUACACUACUACUCACUGAGCAUCUUCAUAAAGAAGCUGGACUCAUUUUAUAAUCCGUUAUUUAUUCAUUCAUGUAUUUUGUGUUUGUGUGUUCUUUGCACUUGCUAAAAACUGACACACAUUUUUUACAAGCUCAUUUGCAAAGGCCUUUAUUUCCUGUGAUGUUGAUCGAGAACCACUUAAAUGUUCACAACUUUCACCGCGAUAAACAAACAAAAUCUGCCUCAAAAUCAGGCAUUUUUGAUUGUAACAAUGAAUAAAAAAUGGUCACUGAAAUCCGGGAGGGACUGGUAAAUUGUGCUGUUGAUCAAACUAUGGCAUCAAGAAAAGAUAAAUUUGAAAGAAAUGUGAUCCACGUUUCAUGAAAGGUAACCUCUACUCAUGCAUGAUAGAAUGAAAUAUAGUAUCACCAUUGAUUUAACUUAUUUAAAAUAUUUUGUUAGCUUCACUGGCAACUUUAGAACAUCGGUGUUGUUUGCUUCCAGGUUAUAGUCCUGAUGAAUGGGCAUACCAAGAGUUCAGGAAUACAUUACAGUGGCAGCUCGCAUCCUUCUUGGGCAGAACUUGGGCAGUGUAAAGCCAGUGUGGUGGGCGCCUAAACCUGAAGAGGUCUGUAGGCAGACAUACUGAUACUGAGAUUAGUUACCAUAAACUGCCAUUUUUCAUUUGUGACUUAUCCAGUAUUCUUCUAAAUUGUGUUUCAUUGGGUCGAUCAAACUUCUAUCCAUCUUUUUUUACACUGCCCUCUUUUGACUAACUUGAAGCAGAUACCUUACCAGAACAGGAUCCUGGCUGCAUCGCAUCUAUUAAA